UUCUUUAAGACAAUUAAUUUAAAGUAAGACCUGCUCAACGAUAAUUCAAAUAGCCGCAGUUAACUGUGCUAAGGUAGCAUAAUCACUUGCUUCUUAAUUAGAAGAUAGUAUGAAUGGUCAAACAUUUAAAACACCGUCACUUACACUCUAAUUAAACUAAAAAAGGAGUAAAAAUUCUCUUAAAAAAAAGCAGGACGACAAGACCCUGCUAAACUUGAAAUUUAGUUGGGGAAACUUAAUAAAAAAACUUUAUCACACAACACCAAAUCACCUUAACAUAAAAUAUAAGUUACUACAGGGAUAACAGCGCCAUAUCUUUCAAGAGCCCUAAUCAAAAAAGAAUAUUACGACCUCGAUGUUGAAUUAAUAAACCAAUUACGGCGCACAAGCCAAAAAAGGUAGUCUGUUCGACUAUUAAAAAAUU
rnacentral:rRNA from 1 species